rnacentral:rRNA from 1 species
ACGUAUGGUGCAAGCGUUAUCCGGAUUUACUGGGUGUAAAGGAAGCGCAGGCGGUGCGGCAAGUCUGAUGUGAAAGCCCGGGGCUCAACCCCGGUACUGCAUUGGAAACUGUCGUACUAGAGUGUCGGAGGGGUAAGCGGAAUUCCUAGUGUAGCGGUGAAAUGCGUAGAUAUUAGGAGGAACACCAGUGGCGAAGGCGGCUUACUGGACGAUAACUGACGCUGAGGCUCGAAAGCGUGGGGAGCAAACAG